rnacentral:rRNA from 1 species
GACGAACGCUGGCGGCGUGCCUAAUACAUGCAAGUCGAACGAGAGCGACCGGUGCUUGCACUGGUCAAUCUAGUGGCGAACGGGUGAGUAACACGUGGGUAACCUGCCCAUCAGAGGGGGAUAACAUCCGGAAACGGAUGCUAACACCGCAUAGGUCUUCGAACCGCAUGGUUUGAAGAGGAAAAGAGGCGCAAGCUUCUGCUGAUGGAUGGACCCGCGGUGCAUUAGCUAGUUGGUGAGGUAACGGCUCACCAAGGCCGUGAUGCAUAGCCGACCUGAGAGGGUGAUCGGCCACAUUGGGACUGAGACACGGCCAAAACUCCUACGGGAGGCAGCAGUAGGGAAUCUUCCGCAAUGGACGCAAGUCUGACGGAGCAACGCCGCGUGAGUGAAGAAGGUUUUCGGAUCGUAAAACUCUGUUGUUAGAGAAGAACAAGUGCUAGAGUAACUGUUAGCGCCUUGACGGUAUCUAACCAGAAAGCCACGGCUAACUACGUG